rnacentral:rRNA from 1 species
UACAAAGGUCUCAAGCGUUGUUCGGAUUCAUUGGGCGUAAAGGGUGCGUAGGCGGCGCGGUAAGUCGGGUGUGAAAUUUCGAGGCUUAACUUCGAAACUGCAUUCGAUACUGCCGUGCUAGAGGACUGGAGAGGAGACUGGAAUUUACGGUGUAGCGGUGAAAUGCGUAGAUAUCGUAAGGAAGACCAGUGGCGAAGGCGGGUCUCUGGACAGUUCCUGACGCUGAGGCACGAAGGCCAGGGGAGCAAACGGG